CCUGGCCUUGACAUACUAAGAACUUUCCAGAGAUGGAUUGUGCCUUCGGGAACUUAGAUACAGGUGCUGCAUGGCUGUCGUCAGCUCGUGUCGUGAGAUGUUGGGUUAACGUCCGCAACGAGCGCAACCUUUCCUUAUUUGCCAGCGGGUAAUGCCGGGAACUUUAAGGAUACUGCCAGUGACAAACUGGAGGAAGGCGGGGACGACGUCAAGUCAUCAUGGCCCUUACGGCCAGGGCUACACACGUGCUACAAUGGUCGGUACAAAGGGUUGCUACCUCGCGAGAGGAUGCUAAUCUCAAAAAGCCGAUCGUAGUCCGGAUCGCAGUCUGCAACUCGACUGCGUGAAGUCGGAAUCGCUAGUAAUCGCGGAUCAGAAUGCCGCGGUGAAUACGUUCCCGGGCCUUGUACACACCGCCCGUCACACCAUGGGAGUUUGUUGCACCAGAAGUAGGUAGUCUAACCGCAAGGAGGACGCUUACCACGGUGUGGCCGAUGACUGGGGUGAAGUCGUAACAAGGUAGGCGUAGAUGA
rnacentral:rRNA from 1 species